GCGGCAGAAGAUCUUCAUCACCUCGUCGUGGCGAGAGCAGAUGUUCUCCUCCAGCUUUGAAGUGGCUUCAACCAGCUUGUGUUUCUUAAACAGAGCUACAUUGUAGUGAGGCUGCAGGUGUUGCUCACAGUAAGAGGCCAUACACACCAGACAGGACUUGAAGGCUUUUACCUUUAUCCCAGAGCAGAAAUCACAGGCCACGUCUUCAGGUCCUGCAAAGGACUGAUCAGGUGAAACAGCAUGAAGUCCAACUGUCUUCAGUUUCUCCACUAACUCUGCUAACAUGGUGUUUUUCACCAGGUCAGGCCUCAGUGUGAAGCUCUGCCUACACUGAGG